CUUAUUAAGGGGGGAUUAAGGGGGGAUCGGCACCCCCCUUAUUAAGGGGGGAUUAAGGGGGGAUCGGCACCCCCUUAUUAAGG
rnacentral:tRNA from 2 species